rnacentral:sRNA from 1 species
CUCCUAACCUCAGGUGAUUCGCCCGCCUCGGCCUCCCAAAGUGCUGGGAUUAUAGCCUUGAGCCACCACAUCUGGCCGAGACCAGCUAUCUUCUUGAUUAAAGGUACUGAGAGCUAUUAUUUUUCCUUACAAGCAUGUAUAACGGCUUUCAUUCCCACUCUUGUUUUGGCUUUUCUUUUCCGAGAAGACAAAAUCCCCAUCAGGAAGUAUGCCGACGGCACCAUCGACAUUGAGGAGGUCACAGAGAACCCCAAGACUGAGGUGUGUGGUGGGGAGAAAGGGCCUUGCUGCGCCUGCCCCAAAACUGAAGCCGAGAAGCAGGCCGAGAAGGAGGAGGCUGAAUACCGCAAAGUCUUUGAGAAUUUCCUGCACAACUCCAUCUUCGUGCCCAGACCUGAAAGGAAGCGGAGAGAUGUCAUGCAAGUGGCCAACACCACCAUGUCCAGCCGAAGCAGGAACACCACGGCCGCAGACACCUACAACAUCACCGACCCGGAAGAGCUGGAGACAGAGUACCCUUUCUUUGAGAGCAGAGUGGAUAACAAGGAGAGAACUGUGAUUUCUAACCUUCGGCCUUUCACAUUGUACCGCAUCGAUAUCCACAGCUGCAACCACGAGGCUGAGAAGCUGGGCUGCAGCGCCUCCAACUUUGUCUUUGCAAGGACUAUGCCCGCAGAAGGAG